UUCCCGAAAUUCCCGACGGACGCGGCGGCCCCUCCCCCACAGAGAGACCCCCCCGGAGCCGCCCGAGCCCCCGGCCAAGGUCACCUGCGACAUCCGCCUGCGCGUCCGCGCCGAGUACUGCUGUACUGGGUUGUACUGGGUUAGACUGGGUUAUACUGGGUUAUACUGGGUUAGACUGGGUUAGACUGGGUUAUACUGGGUUAUACCACUCCAUACUGGUUUAUACUGGUCUAUACCAGUCUAUACUGGUUCUAACUGGUUCUAACUGGUUCUAACUGCUCGUUCUCCCCUCCCCAGACAUCCGCCUGUGCGUCCGCGCCGAGUACUGCUGUACUGGGUUAUACUGGGUCAUACUGGUUCAUAGGAGUCUAUACUGGUUCUAACUGGUUUAUACAGCUCUAUACCGGUUUAUACUGGUUCUAACUGGUUCUAACUGGUUCUAACUGGUUCUAACUGCUCGUUUCCCCCUCCCCAGACAUCCGCCUGCGCGUCCGCGCCGAGUACUGCUGUACUGGGUUAUACUGGGUUAGACUGGGUUAUACUGGGUUAUACUGGGUUAUACUGGGUUAGACUGGGUUAUACUGGGUUAUACUGGGUUAUACUGGGUUAGACUGGGUUAGACUGGGUUAGACUGGGCUAGACUGGGUUAUACCACUCCAUACUGGUUUAUACUGGUCUAUACCAGUCUAUACUGGUUCUAACUGGUUCUAACUGGUUCUAACUGGUUCUAACUGGUUCUAACUGGUCGUUCUCCCCUCCCCAGACAUCCACCUGCGCGUCCGCGCCGAGUACUGCUGUACUGGGUUAUACUGGGUUAUACUGGUCCAUACUGAUCUAUAGUGGUUUAUACUGGUCCAUACAGCUCUAUACUGGUUUAUACUGGUUCUAACUGGUUCUAACUGGUUCUAACUGGUUCUAACUGGUUCUAACUGGUUCUAACUGCUCGUUCUCCCCUCCCCAGACAUCCGCCUGCGCGUCCGCGCCGAGUACUGCUGUACUGGGUUAUACUGGGUUAUACUGGUCCAUACUGAUCUAUAGUGGUUUAUACUGGUCCAUACAGCUCUAUACUGGUUUAUACUGGUUCUGACUGGUUCUAACUGGUUCUAACUGGUUCUAACUGGUUCUAACUGGUUCUAACUGCUCGUUCUCCCCUCCCCAGACAUCCGCCUGCGCGUCCGCGCCGAGUACUGCGAGCACGACCGCGCCCUGCGCCGCGGCGUGGCCUCCAGCCGUCCGCGGGGGCCCGGCCGCGCUCUGGACGUUUUCGGCCAGGCC
rnacentral:lncRNA from 1 species